CCUACGGGAGGCAGCAGUGAGGAAUAUUGGUCAAUGGACGAGAGCCUGAACCAGCCACGUAGCGUGAAGGAUGACUGCCCUACGGGUUGUAAACUUCUUUUAUAAGGGAAUAAAGUGAUGCACGUGUGCCUUUUUGUAUGUACUUUAUGAAUAAGGAUCGGCUCACUCCGUGCCAGCCGCCGCGGUAAUACGGAGGAUCCGAGCGUUAUCCGGAUUUAUUGGGUUUAAAGGGAGCGUAGGUGGGUUGUUAAGUCAGGUGUGAAAGUUUGCGGCUCAACCGUAAAAUUGCAAUUGAUACUGGCAGUCUUGAGUACAGUAGAGGUAGGCGGAAUUCGUGGUGUAGCGGUGAAAUGCGUAGAUAUCACGAAGAACUCCGAUUGCGAAGGCAGCUUACUAAACUGCCACUGACACUGAGGCUCGAAAGUGUGGGUAUCAAACAGGAUUAGAUACCCGGGUAGUC
rnacentral:rRNA from 1 species